UGUUGUACAAAGCCGCAGAGGAAAAUGUAGAUGACGUGAUACUGCGUGCAACAAUACCCAGUAACCAAAGCAUGCACAGCGUGUCUGGGACAGACCAGAUCCUCGGAGAAAUGAUGCUACAAGAUGAAGAUACGUAUUUGCCAAAGAGGAGCUGGAAGUGGU